AACUCAAGGCCAACUUUCUCCCUCCUUGUCCCGAAAUCAGCCUGGGCCCCAUACCCAGCCCAACUUCCCCCUCUGGACCCUGAACUUGAGUCCCAGUCCCGAGUUUUAAGCCCAAGGCUCUGUCUGCGGGGGUAGGGUGGGAGCAAAGGGUCUAACCCCCUAUCCCACCUCUGGAACCCCUGUUGGUCUAAGGCCUGCGCCUGCCCAGGGAGAGGCAACCCAGGAGGCCGUGAGCCCCUGGGAAUAGAGAUUGGUGAGGGGCGGUUUGGCGGGUGGGCUCGGUCCCAGACCCAGGGCACACUGGGCACUGCAGACCCCUCCCGGGGAGGGGGGCCUGGGUCUGGGUAUUGCCCUGGGAUGCCACCAAACAGGAACCCCC
rnacentral:lncRNA from 1 species